UCACCACUGCAUGAAAGACUUCAUGUUACCAUUCUACAUCUCUCUACUUCUACUUUGAAUAUUGCUUGAUACUGUUAAGAGUCCCACAUCGGACAGGACAUGGCCUGCUGACAAUGUAUUUAUAAGUGGGGACAAUCCUCACCUCACAAGCCGGUUUUGUGGAGGUUGUGUUAGGUCCAACCAUCAUUUCUAAGAGAUACUCCAUGAUAAACUAGUACAAAAAAAAUGCAUUGAAUCAAUUUCUACGAUAUCCAUCAACGAGGAAAGGUGGUUUCUUGAAGAUUAUCUUUUGAUUGGAUUAUAUAGGAUGAAAUAAAGUUGUUGAAGGUGACAUUUAAUCUGGGAAUGAGGAGUUGUUUCCCACCAUGGAAAAGCUCCCUUUCUCAGGACCGCUGGCAUUAUGCAACCUGUUGCUAAAAAAAAAUGAAACUUGUUUUUUAAUGUUUAUUUUGUUUCUUCUUGUUGCACCCUUCCAUUUACUUUCCGUUUACUUUA